AUACGGGGGGUGCAAGCGUUGUUCGGAAUCACUGGGCGUAAAGGGUGCGCAGGCGGACUGUUAAGUCUGAUGUGAAAGCCCCGGGCUCAACCUGGGAAGUGCAUUGGAUACUGGCAGACUUGAAUACGGGAGAGGGCAGUGGAAUUCCUGGUGUAGGAGUGAAAUCCGUAGAUAUCAGGAGGAACACCGGUGGCGAAGGCGGCUGCCUGGACCGAUAUUGACGCUGAGACGCGAAAGCGUGGGUAGC
rnacentral:rRNA from 1 species